rnacentral:tRNA from 1 species
GAGGGUGUAGCUCAGUGGUAAGAGUGUGUGCUUAGCAUGCACGAGGUCCUGGCUUCCAUCCCCAGUACCUCCA